rnacentral:rRNA from 1 species
GCGGCAAACGGGUGAGUAAUAUCUGGGAAUCUACCCAAAAGAGGGGGAUAACUACUAGAAAUGGUAGCUAAUACCGCAUAAAGUUGAAAAACCAAAGUGGGGGACCUUAAAAGGCCUCAUGCUUUUGGAUGAGCCCAGAGGAGAUUAGCUUGUUGGUAAGGUAAAAGCUUACCAAGGCAACGAUCUCUAGCUGGUCUGAGAGGAUAGCCAGCCACACUGGAACUGAGACACGGUCCAGACUCCUACGGGAGGCAGCAGUGGGGAAUAUUGCACAAUGGGCGAAAGCCUGAUGCAGCUAUGCCGCGUGUAUGAAGAAGGCCUUAGGGUUGUAAAGUACUUUCAGCGGGGAGGAAAAAAAUAAAACUAAUAAUUUUAU